ACACCGAAUCAGAGACACAGAGACAGAGAGAGCACAGCUAAGGGAAUGGAUGCCUCCACAUUGCCAGGCUAUUCCACAGAAUUUGAGUUUUUAGGUGUGACGUUUUUGUUUGAAAUGAAAAUGACAAAAUAAAGAUAAAGACAGCUACACAAGGAUUCCCCAUGUGGAAGCAGGAUGUCAAAUCCACACACAGACAAGGUAGAAUUUCAGUCGGCUGGGAAACCUGCCUCCUGGUGGUGAAAAGAGGGAACGCAAGUGAGCCAGGCUUUAAAGUCCUGCCAUUGCCAGUCCGUCCUGCCAUGGCUCUGGUCUUCUGUCCCAGCAGGGUGUGCUUGAAGAUGUAGAAGCAUUUAACACGUGGCUAGUGAAGAGCCAAGAACACAAAUGACCGUGUGACCCACGGUGUUCACUGUUGUAGGACUACAUGUGAUCCUGCUUCCCAUGUCACCAUACCCAUACACACCUGAGCACAUUCAGAGAGAACCAUGUGUGCAGUCACGACCGGAACCCGGAAUUGGACUGGUAACCUCACCUCUCCACAGAUCUGACCACACCAGAGCAGAGGGAUUGCUCCUAAUCACUGGGGCAGAAAACCCACUCACUCCUGGGGUGAUGAGCAUUCUGCCAGUAAGCAGAAAUCGUCAGGGUGCUCGAGUGGGAGGGAAUUAAGACAUUCUGAAAGAUGAUGAGAAAACUUAUGUUUAAAAUGUUUAUACUUACUCAUUUUUAAUACAAUAUUUUUAUCAGUGUAUUUUGUUUCUAUUCACUGCCCUCCUGCUGCUGAGUCCUUGCAGAUCUAACACACCCCCUCUCCUUCCCAACCUUGUAUCUUUUUUUUUUGAUAACCAAGUCCAAAGUUGUUCCGACCAUAUACUCCUAGGUGUACAACUAUCCUUGCAACACAGUCAACCAACCAAAGCCCUGUACCCAGAAAACUGACAUCGGCUUCCCAAGCUAUCAACUGUCACUAUCUCCUCAUCUAGGGAUGAAGGCAGUGGUCCUUUAAGAUAUGGCUGAAACAUGAGGGGACCCUAGCAGCAUCCCCCAACUUCACGGUCGAGCGAUGUGGUGGCAGACAGACAGACAUCCACUUCCUACUGCUUCUUGGGGACUUCCAAGCACAGAUGAAGAGAGAUGACCUUCUGAAGACAGAUACUUGGUCUGGAGCAAAAUUACUCAGAUGCCACUAAGUCUGUGAACCAAAGAGAACUUUUAGAUAUCAGUACUCCUGUGCUGACCAUGGGUUGACGUCCCGUAAGCCCAUCCUACGUUGACAGCGACCAGUUGAAAACUCCUGUCAAGACUCUUACUGAACACCGAACUGGGAGCUGAGCUCUUUGUCUCCACCCAGCAUUGUGGGGGAUGGACUGGAACACAUGGCACUAGCCUGGAAAAGAUCCAAGCCCAGAAUCAGAAGUGGGAUUUCUGCUGAGUGCUUAUCACUUGUGCACCAUGAGGACGACAUCCUGAAGUUGGGGACUGUCACCAUGUAAAGUGCUAAGCAUGUGUUUGCUUCCAAGGGCUGCUGGAAGGCUCUGAGGGGCAGUCUGCCUGGGUAUCUCUCCAGCCUCCAGUAA